rnacentral:rRNA from 1 species
UGCCCAGACUCCUACGGGAGGCAGCAGUGAGGAAUAUUGGUCAAUGGGCGGGAGCCUGAACCAGCCAAGUCGCGUGAAGGAAGAAGGUACUUAGUAUUGUAAACUUCUUUUGUCGGGGAACAAAGGCGGAGACGCGUCUCCGGAUGAGUGUACCCGAAGAAAAAGCAUCGGCUAACUCCGUGCCAGCAGCCGCGGUAAUACGGAGGAUGCGAGCGUUAUCCGGAUUUAUUGGGUUUAAAGGGUGCGCAGGCGGAGGUGCAAGUCAGCGGUCAAAUUGCGGGGCUCAACCCCGUACUGCCGUUGAAACUGCAUCCCUUGAGUGCGCGAGAAGUAUGCGGAAUGCGUGGUGUAGCGGUGAAAUGCAUAGAUAUCACGCAGAACUCCGAUUGCGAAGGCAGCAUACCGGCGCGCAACUGACGCUCAUGCACGAAAGCGUGGGUAUCGAACAGGAUUAGAUACCCUAGUA